rnacentral:lncRNA from 1 species
UCCAAAUAGAGUGAACCUCUCUCUCUGGGGCCCUGUUGGUCCCACAUUUAUCAGUGCCCUCUCUCGGACUUGAGAAUGGGCUGGAGGAGUUCGGCUCCUCUUAAAGCAAAACACUUUUCACAAAAGAAAUGAAAAAAAUAUACAGCCAAGAAAGACCCCCUGACAAGUGAAGAGAGGCAUCGAGCAAGUCAAAUAAUGAGUUGUGGCUGCAGAGGCGCAAGCUCUUCAUCUACAAAGCUGAGGACCAUGAGGCUAAGGAACUACCAAAAGGCCCGAAGCUAGCAGAACCCAAGAAGAGGCCAGUCUACCUGGUGAUUGUUCGGCUCUCUGAUCUCUUCACCAGAACUUUCAAAAUUUCCUGCAGAGAGGAGAGCGCAAACAUCUUGUUUGGGAAAGACUCUUGCAGCUGUGCAAAUACAGUCUUCUUGAACAUUAAUCCAUCUGUCAGUUCUCAAGAAAAUGUGUGUGAUCAAAGAAGUUUGAGAACAUCUGCAACAAAUAGAACCUUCACUCCCUGAAUGUGUAUGUGAAACCAGCAUGUCAGGUGAACACACACGGGUACACACGUGUGCCCGAUAAUAAGGUGCCAUAAUAUAAAGAUUGGAUGGUUAUCUCUUCCCCACUCGCCCUCAUCCCUUGCUCUACUUAUCUCUUUUUUUCUCAGCAGUGUAUGCAUAAGGACUAGGGAUAUUGGAAGCUAACGAUGAUGAGUGUGGAUGGCUGGAGAGUAAACAGAAUUGUCACUGGAAAAAAGUGAUUAGGGUCAAUUAUAGUGCAUCUCAUGACUCCUUAACAAGAGCUGGCAUGAUUUUAUAAUUCCAUGUAGUUUUCUAGAUAAAGUCAGUGAAAAUAUACUCCACAAAGGAAAUUCAGGAACCUGGUUAUAGAAGAA